rnacentral:lncRNA from 1 species
CGGGGGGACAUGGACAGAAACAAGGGAAGGGACAGGGGGCACCCAGAGGUGCAGGGACCUGGGGACAUGGGGGCACGGGGACCCCCCCAGCAGCGCACCCAUCCACAAGCAGUGAGGCAAAGCUGCCUCUGCCACAGCCACCCCCCAAACCCCGGGACCACCCCGGGGGGUGCCCGUGGAGCCCCCCCAGCCCCUCACUUGUUCUUGAACUCCUCGACCAGCCCCUGCAUGCUGCCCAGCUCGGCCUCCAGCCGCAGCCGCUCCUGGCCCAGGCUGUCGAGCUGGCGCCGCAGGGUGCCCACGUACGCCUCGAAGAGCGCGCUCAGGUUGCUGCGGGGGGGCUUCUGGUUCUGCAGCAGCCCCCACUUGGUCUCCAGCAUCUUGUUCUGCUGCUCCAGGAACCGCACCUGGGGGGGGACACGGGGAGGUGGCACCACGGCCUUGGCACGGGGGCAGCGGAUCGGGGGGCGUGGGGAUGGGGGGCUCAGCGCGGUGCGGUGAGGCUUGGGGGGGGUAAGUGGGAGUGUGGGGGCUGGGGUGCAGCUUCGGGGCCUGGGGUGCGGGUGUGGGUGCUGGGUGCAAGUCUGGGGUGCUGGGUGCAACCGUGGGGUGCUGGGUGUGGACCUGGAAUGCAGGCGUGGGGUGCUGGGUGCGGGUUUGGGGUGCUGCUUUGGGGUCUUGGGUGCAAAUGGGGGGGUCAGGUGCACAUUUGGGGUGCAAAUCUGUAGUCCUGGGGUGCAGGUUUGGGGUGGGGGGUGCACACUUGGGGUGCGGGGUGCAGAGUGGGGCUGGCCCCAUGGACCCCCUGCUGCCCCUCAACCCCAUCCCCACCAUGGGGUGAGGCCCCACAGAGCAGUCAGACUGGGGGGGGGAGGAAGAAGGGAGGUUGCAGGGGGGGGACAACAAAGGGACAAUGCCUCCCCCCCCAGCUCCCACUCUGUGCCACCCAGCAAGGGGACAGGAGUGUCCCUAUGGCAUGUCCCUGGGGGGGCAGCAAGUCCCUGGGGGGCCCAAGAUGUGCCCAAAGGGGUCAGGAGGUCCCCGAGGGGGGUUGGGUGUCCCCAAGGGGGUCUCGGUGUCCCCGAAGGGGCCAGGAAGUGUCCGACGGGGUCAGGAGGUCCCAAAGGGGCCAAGGAGGUCCCCAGGGGGUCUGCACAUCCCCAAAGGGGUCAGGAUGUGCCCAAAGGGUCCAGGAGGUCCUGGAGCAGUUCCCAAUGUCCCCAGGGGGGGCAGGAGGUCCCCAGGGGGUCCCAGCACCCCCAAAGCUCUCAGGAUGCACCCGGGAUGUCCCCGAGGGGCUCAGGAGGACCCCAGGGGGUCCCGGCCACCUCCGGUCCCGCCACCAGGGGAGGUUUGGGGUGAACAAAAGCGGGACGGAGCCGUGCCCCCCCCCGAAGCCCCUCAGGGCCAGCACAGUGGGGCAGGGGGCACCCAGGGGCAGGGGGCGCCCAGGGGCAGGGGGCGCCCAGGGGCAGGGGGCGCCCAGCCUCACCUUGUCGAUGAAGGAGGCGAACUUGUUGUUGAGGGUCUUGAUCUGCUCCUUCUCCUCCUUGCGCACCCGCUGGAUGCUGGGGUCGAUCUCCAGGUUGAGGGGUGUCAGCAGGCUCUGGUUGACGCUGACGGCCGUGAUGCCCCCCCCGGACCCGCAGGAGGUGGCCGGGCCCCGGUAGAGCCCCCCGGCGCCGUACCGGGCCCCCCCCAAGCCCCCGAAGGCCGAGGCCGCGCUCAUCCUGGCGGCGGGGCCGGCGGUGUAGGAGCGGGAGCUGAAGGAGCGCACGGAGCUGCUGCGGGCGGGCGGCCUGGGCACCGACAUGGGGGCGGCGGGGGGGCGGCGAGAGGGGACAGAAGGGGGCGAGAGGCUCGAGGGGGGGGUCGCGAGCAGGUGGCGAGGCUGCGAGGAGGCUGCACGAAGCUUGCGAUGAAGUUGCAAGAAGCUUGCAAGGAGGUCGCAACGGGGCGGCAGGGAGAUUUUGGGGAGGUUGCAAGGAGCACCCCAGGGGGUUGCAGGGAGGGGGCGCGGAGGUCCCGGGAGGCCGGGGGGGGCUGCGGGCAGGUUGCGAGGCUGCAGGGGUGCGAGGAGGCCGCAGGAGGCUGCAGGGGCCGGGCCGGGCGGGCGAGGCCGGGUUUAUAUCCCCGAGCUGGGGGAGGAGAGCAGGAAGGAGGCCGGGGCCCAGGCAGCACCUGCGCCGCUUAACCCCUUCGCAGCGCGGGGGGGCCCUGGGACCCGCCGGGAUCCUGCCCCCGCGGGGCGCUGGGGUGGGCGCUCGGCCCCGAACCCCAGGGCUGGGUUUUGGGCUGGGGGCAGGGGGCGCAGGCUGCCCCCACCCGGAGCUCAGCACCGCUCCGGGAACCGAGCCCGGGACCCAGGACCCCUGCCCCCAGGUGGCCCCAAGCGGUGUCCCCAGCCCCGCGUCCCCACCUGGUGUCCCCAGGCCGUGUCCCCAACCCCUGACCCCAACCCCACGGCCCCAACACCCCUCUCCAAGCCGUGUCCCCAUCUGGUGUCCCCAGGCGGUGUCCCCAGCCCCCAGCCCCAGCCCCCUGUCUCCAACACCACGUCCCCAGCCCCUGACCCCCA